GGGGAGCCGGGAUUUAAGUCUUGGGUCUAACUUGGAGGCGCCAUAUUAUUCCAUAGGUGAUGCUAAUACCUUUGUGUUUUGCUCUUUGCUCUUUAGGAAACAUGCCCUGAACUGUCACAGAAUGAAACCCGCGCUCUUCAGCGUCCUGUGCGAGAUCAAAGAGAAAACAGGUCUCAGCAUCAGAGGAGCCCAGGAGGAGGACCCUCCCGAUCCCCAGCUAAUGAGACUGGACAAUAUGCUUUUGGCAGAAGGGGUUUCAGGUCCUGAGAAAGGUGGGGGAUCGGCGGCAGCAGCUGCAGCCGCGGCAGCCUCUGGAGGUUCUUCAGAUAACUCUAUUGAACACUCAGAUUACAGAGCCAAAUUGACCCAGAUCAGACAAAUCUAUCACACAGAACUGGAGAAAUAUGAACAGGCAUGUAAUGAAUUCACUACACAUGUGAUGAACCUUCUCCGAGAGCAGAGUAGAACACGUCCCAUUUCCCCAAAAGAGAUUGAAAGGAUGGUGGGCAUCAUCCAUCGAAAAUUUAGUUCCAUUCAGAUGCAGCUCAAACAAAGCACUUGUGAAGCAGUUAUGAUUUUAAGAUCAAGGUUCCUUGAUGCCAGACGAAAAAGGCGUAACUUCAGUAAACAAGCCACAGAAAUCUUGAAUGAAUAUUUUUACUCACACCUCAGCAACCCCUACCCCAGUGAAGAAGCCAAAGAGGAGCUGGCCAAGAAAUGCAGCAUCACAGUGUCACAGGUAUCCAACUGGUUUGGCAACAAACGAAUCAGGUACAAGAAGAAUAUUGGCAAGUUUCAGGAAGAAGCCAACCUCUACGCUGCAAAGACAGCCGUGACAGCCGCACACGCAGUGGCCGCAGCUGUGCAGAACAACCAGACCAAUUCGCCCACCACGCCAAAUUCUGGUUCUUCUGGUUCUUUUAACCUCCCAAAUUCUGGGGACAUGUUCAUGAACAUGCAGAGUCUGAAUGGGGAUUCUUACCAAGGGUCCCAAGUCGGAGCCAAUGUGCAAUCACAGGUGGAUACCCUCCGUCAUGUUAUCAAUCAGACGGGAGGCUACAGUGAUGGCCUUGGAGGAAAUUCACUGUACAGUCCACAUAAUUUAAAUAAGUCCUCACAGAUGCCCAGAGUGCAUCAUCAAUAGUGGCUAAAACACCUGUCCAUCAAGGUGCCAUCUCCUACUGCCUCUGCCGUGUGGGUCCAGGAAAAAGGUGAAGAACAGGUCAUUUAUCUGAGAAUCGAGCAGCAGGAAAAAUUCCCCCACACAGCUCAGGUGAAGGGAACAGCCUUGGAGGGCCCAAACGAUCAACAAAGGCUGCACAAAGGAUUCUGCUCUUCAGAGCAGUUUGCUGUGCUGUCAGCAUGGAAGACACACUGCCUCUCAGGCUAAUGGAGGCUGGCAGGACGCAACAACUCCAUCUUCUGUGACUUCUCCUACAGAAGGCCCAGGAAGUGUGCACUCUGAUACCUCUAACUAAUCUUUGGCAACACUUUCCCUGAGCUGACAUGCCUCGCUAGUGCGUUCAGAGCAAUAGGAGGAGAAGGAAAGCGGUUUUGUGGCCCACCAUCUACAGCUUUACUGUAAAACCUUGUCUUAUUAGAGAACUUGGUCAUCUGUUUUUUAAAGAAUCAUAAUCAUUUGUAUUUAUACUUAAAAACACACAAUGUUUAAAAAAAAAAGCACUUUAUCCAAUUAGGCCAAGAUUUAACAUUGUUGACAGUCCUGUAGCUAUUUUAUCAUAAUUUAUUAUCAAUAUUUUACAUUAAUGGUUUCACAGUUGCCAAGUACUUUGGCCUUAAGGGUAAAAAAGUACAAUGUAUGCUAAACCUCAAUGGUUAAAGCAGAUGCAAAGACUCACCUCACCUAAAUUGAACUUCUCGCGUGUUUCCAUCGCAGACUUUGCUUGUCUCUUUCAUAUUGCUAAAGGAGUUGGAAUAAAGGAGCUGUUUGGCUAUCUCUGUUAAUGAUGGUUGUGCUUAAGACUCUUCUUCAUCACAUUGUGUUGCGAUCUCUUAUGUUAUAAUUAGAUCAGAGACUGGUGGCAUCUUUUCUCUCUCUGAAAGCACCAGUGCCCAGAGUCUGCUUGGUAAUUAAAUUAUGGAUCCAGACUGUUCUGGGAGAUGAAGGUACUUGCUGCUGAUGGAGGUGAACAUGAGAUCCAUCUGGGUUUUACGAUGUGCACUGGGUGCUGCACAGACUUGUCAAGGUUUGCUACGUCCUCUGGGCAUUGACCAAGGCUCUGCUCUCUGGAGUGUUGUAUAUAGUGUAGCAAAAGAGUAUUUAUACAUCUCACCAAUCAAAACACAGCUUUAUUACCUCAUGCGAACUCAUACAAACCAAUAGAAUUUCAACAUGUUCUGUAGCUUAGAGUGCUCACUUACUACCUCUGAACAAUACUCACGCUGUAGUUUGUCUCUUUCUUAUCUUUUUGCAUCUUGUAAUUAACUCUUUGUUUCCCUUCAUAAAAUGUAAUGUACAUUGUAAUCUUUUAAAAGAAAAAUCAGGGUUGCAUUUGCAACUUUUAAAAAACCGAGGGUGGAAACACUGGGUCUUUAACACAAAAUCAGUAGAACUGUUGUAAAUACUGAGAAACAUUUUGAAUGUUCUUCAUCUUGUUACUAAUUCAUGCAAAAAAAAAAAAAGCGGCGACUAAUUGUGAUGCAUUCGGAUUUCAGUAUUCAGUACUGUAUAUUUCACCCUGUGUGAUGGGGCCCCUCUCCUUUCUCUCUUUUUGUAUUGUAUGCGAUUCUGAAACUGAUUGAGUCAUGAAAAUAAUUUGUGGCGGUGAUUCUAAUGUAUUAAAAGCGUUUCGUGUUCCUUUCUAACUGGAUUACACCCUGGAUUGAAAAAGUCUUCCUCGUGGUAGUUAUAUGUAGUUUCAAACAUGAAUAAACUUUUUGCUUUCAUGA